AAAGAGUGCAAAUCCUAUUAAGAUAGUAAAGAGGGAUGCUCACUCCUUAAGAAUUAAAUUGGCUGUUGGAGCUAUGCCCGAAAAAAUUGUAACUGCAUUUCAGUCAGUGCAUGAUGAAAAUGUCACCGAAGAAGCUGCUUUGAACAAGUGUAAAGCUGCUGCUAGUCUA